rnacentral:rRNA from 1 species
UAGGGAAUCUUCGGCAAUGGACGAAAGUCUGACCGAGCAACGCCGCGUGAGUGAAGAAGGUUUUCGGAUCGUAAAACUCUGUUGUUAGAGAAGAACAAGGACGUUAGUAACUGAACGUCCCCUGACGGUAUCUAACCAGAAAGCCACGGCUAACUACGUGCCAGCAGCCGCGGCAAUACGUAGGUGGCAAGCGUUGUCCGGAUUUAUUGGGCGUAAAGCGAGCGCAGGCGGUUUCUUAAGUCUGGUGUGAAAGCCCCCGGCUCAACCGGGGAGGGUCAUUGGAAACUGGGAGACUUGAGUGCAGAAGAGGAGAAUGGAAUUCCAUGUGUAGCGGUGAAAAGCGUAGAUAUAUGGAGGAACACCAGUGGCGAAGGCGGCUCUCUGGUCUGUAACUGACGCUGAGGCUCAAAAGCGUGGGGAGCAAACAGG